GACGAACGCUGGCGGCGUGCUUAACACAUGCAAGUCGAGCGGUAAGGCCCUUUCGGGGGUACACGAGCGGCGAACGGGUGAGUAACACGUGGGUGACCUGCCCUCAGCUCUGGGAUAAGCCUGGGAAACUGGGUCUAAUACUGGAUAUGACUCCACGGUGCAUGUCGUGGGGUGGAAAGCCUUGUGCGGCUGAGGAUGGGCCCGCGGCCUAUCAGCUUGUUGGUGGGGUGANGGGCCUACCAAGGCGACGACGGGUAGCCGGCCUGAGAGGGCGACCGGCCACACUGGGACUGAGACACGGCCCAGACUCCUACGGGAGGCAGCAGUGGGGAAUCUUGCGCAAUGGGCGAAAGCCUGACGCAGCGACGCCGCGUGAGGGAUGACGGCCU
rnacentral:rRNA from 1 species